UCCCUAAAUCUCUCUGUACCCCACAUGACUCUCUCUCUCAAAAAUAAACAAUACGAUACAUAGUAUAGUGUUUCUAAAUAAGUGGGCCAAUAAAGGUAUUUAUAAACUGUCUCUCCAUCAUUAUAUUAUGAUACUCUACCCCAUUCUUCCCCUCCCUGAGACUUGGCUGAAAGGCAUUGAGUUGCAUCUUCCAAACCUUAUUAUAUGCCUGCAUAUUUAGGCUAAUGGAGGCUGUAAGAUGGAGGCUGGGAGGUAGGGAGAGUAAUAGAGGAAGUAAGGUGGAGUCUGGGAGAGAGGGAGACUGAUGGAGGCAGUAAGGUGGAGGCUGGGAGGUAGGGAAAGUGAUGGAGGCAGUAAGAUGGAGACUGGGAGGUAGGGAGAGUAAUGGAGGAAGUAAGGUGGAGGCUGGGAGGUAGGGAGAGUGAUGGAGGCAGUAAGGUGGAGGAUGGGAGGUAUGGAAAGUGAUGGAGGCAGUUAGAUGGAGGCUGGGAGGUAGAGAGAGUAAUGGAGGAAGUAAGGUGGAGGCUGGGAGGUAGGGAGAGUGAUGGAGGCAGUAAGGUGGAGGCUGGGAUAGAGGGAGACUAAUAGAGGAAGUAAGGUGGAGACUGGGAGAUAGGGAGAGUGAUGGAGGCAGUAAGGUGGAGGCUGGGAGGUAGGGAGAGUGAUGGAGGAUGUAAGGUGGAGGCUGGGAGAGAGGGAGAGUGAUGGAGGCAGUAAGGUGGAGGCUGGGCGGUAGGGAGAGUAAUAGAGGAAGUAAGGUGGAGGCUGGGAGAGAGGGAGAGUGAUGGAGGCAGUAAGGUGGAGGCUGGGAUAGAGGGAGAGUGAUGGAGGCAGUAAGGUGGAGGCUGGGAGCUAGGGAGAGUAAUAGAGGAAGUAAGGUGGAGGCUGGUUGAGAGGGAGAAUGAUGGAGACAGUAAGGUGGAGGCUCGGAUAGAGGGAGAGUGAUGGAGGCAGUAAGGUGGAGGCUGGGAUAGAGGGAGAGUGAUGGAGGCAGUACGGUGGAGGCUGGGAUAGAGGGAGAGUGAUGGAGGCAGUAUGGUGGAGGCUGGGAUAGAGGGAGAGUGAUGGAGGCAGUAAGGUGGAGGCUCGGAUAGAGGGAGAGUGAUGGAGGCAGUAAGGUGGAGGCUGGGAUAGAGGGAGAGUGAUGGAGGCAGUACAGUGGAGAGAGUGUUGAGUAUAGUUGAGUUCUACAUUGGCAUGAGUUGUGGGAACUUUAUGUAAGGAAAUGAUAAGGAAAAAACACAUUAUUUUGCCUUUACACCCAGUGUGUGUGUGUGUGUCUGUAUUUGUGGUCCCAUGCAGUCCCUUCUCGGUUUUUCCUCCUCUCCCUCCUUCUCCCUCUCGCCACAUUAGUGUCAUGCUUCCCACUCUGAUCUGUCCUCCGCUCACUCCCUCCUCUCCUC
ensembl:lncRNA